UACAGAGGGUGCGAGCGUUAAUCGGAAUUACUGGGCGUAAAGGGCGCGUAGGUGGUUAUGUAAGAUCGAUGUGAAAUCCCUGGGCUUAACCUAGGAACUGCAUCGGUGACUGCAUAGCUGGAGUACUGUAGAGGGUAGUGGAAUUUCCGGUGUAGCGGUGAAAUGCGUAGAGAUCGGAAGGAACACCAGUGGCGAAGGCGGCUACCUGGACAGAUACUGACACUGAGGCGCGAGAGCGUGGGGAGCAAACAGGAUUAGAUACCCUGGUAGUCCACGCUGUAAACGAUGAAGACUAGAUGUUGUUCAGCAUGACUGAUUAGUAUCGAAGCUAACGCGAUAAGUCUUCCGCCUGGGGAGUACGGCCGCAAGGUUAAA
rnacentral:rRNA from 1 species